rnacentral:rRNA from 1 species
UACGAAGGUGGCAAGCGUUGUUCGGAUUUACUGGGCGUACAGGGAGCGUAGGCUGUUGGAUAAGCCCUCCGUGAAAUCUCCAGGCUUAACCUGGAAAGUGCAGAGGGGACUGUUCAGCUAGAGGAUGGGAGAGGAGCGCGGAAUUCCCAGUGUAGAGGUGAAAUUCGUAGAUAUUGGGAAGAACACCGAUGGCGAAGGCAGCCAUCUGGACCGGCACUGACGCUGAGGCGCGAAAGCGUGGGGAGCAAACAGG